rnacentral:rRNA from 1 species
AUUGAACGCUGGCGGCAGGCUUAACACAUGCAAGUCGAGCGGAGAUGAGGUGCUUGCACCUUAUCUUAGCGGCGGACGGGUGAGUAAUGCUUAGGAAUCUGCCUAUUAGUGGGGGACAACAUUCCGAAAGGAAUGCUAAUACCGCAUACGUCCUACGGGAGAAAGCAGGGGAUCUUCGGACCUUGCGCUAAUAGAUGAGCCUAAGUCGGAUUAGCUAGUUGGUGGGGUAAAGGCCUACCAAGGCGACGAUCUGUAGCUGGUCUGAGAGGAUGAUCCGCCACACUGGGACUGAGACACGGCCCAGACUCCUACGGGAGGCAGCAGUGGGGAAUAUUGGACUAUGGGGGGAACCCUGAUCCAGCCAUGCCGCGUGUGUGAAGAAGGCCUUAUGGUUGUAAAGCACUUUAAGCGGGGAGGAGGCUACUGAGACUAAUACUCUUGGAUAGUGGACGUUACUCGCAGAAUAAGCACCGGCUAACUCUGUGCCAGCAGCCGCCGUAA